rnacentral:lncRNA from 1 species
CUUUAUAUUCACUCUCUCUUCAAUGGCCAGUGUGCAUGCAGGUUCCACGGACAUUUAAAACUGGCAACAACAAUUUUCUGACUUAGGAAGAGUGGUGAUCUAUAACAAAGCUUCAUUGAACACUAGCUGCGGGACAUAAUAAUCAGAUUCAGUGUUGUUUCCGGUGGCUCGGCUACUCAUUCUCAGUUGAAGCUCUUUCUCUGUAGCAAGUCUCCUUCCUUUGGCAUUGGGUGGAACUGAGCUUAAAUUCAGCUAUACUCGGGCACAUCUCCUUUGGCAAUACAUAUUUGAUUUCUGAAAUAAAGAAAAAUUUGCUUCAAGCCUUUAGCAAUAUAUGUCCAUGUAAUAUCGGUUCAGGGCAAAUCUUCUUUGGCAAAUUUGAAGUUCCUCCAGUUGGCCAUGCUAGCUGAGGAUGGUUCGACAAUUUUAAGGCCUUGACUUAUAAGAACAGUCAGGAAUACAGACUUUGAGGGCUUAGCUCCAGUUGGUGAUAUUUGACUUGGAAUUUCUACCAGGACCCUUUUUUUGGUCCAUUUUUGGGCAAAUCUCCUUUGGCAUUUUGGAGUCUUGAAUAAGACUCCGUUUAUCCCUUUAGUGGGCAAAUCUCCUUUGGCAUUUAAACUCCAUUUGUGGAGAUAAUAAGACUAUGAAAAUAUUUGGAACAUAAACAGAGAGACUUCACUGUUUGCCCUCGGAUUUUUAUUUUUUUUCCUCUUUUUGGCAAGGCUACUGAUUCCAGUUGCAACUAGAGUUGCAACUUUCUAGUUAUUGUGCAGUCUGGCAGAGGCCUACAUUCCAAAUUACUCAGUCUCGACUAAAGCAUAACCCAAGCGGUACGCCUCUCUACUAUUGUCAUUAC